rnacentral:rRNA from 1 species
AACGAACGCUGGCGGCAUGCCUAACACAUGCAAGUCGAACGAGACCUUCGGGUCUAGUGUCGCACGGGUUCGUAACGCGUGGGAACCUGCCCUUAGGUUCGGAAUAACUCCCCGAAAGGGGUGCUAAUACCGGAUAUUGUCUUCGGACCAAAGAUUUAUCGCCUUUGGAUGGGCCCGCGUUGGAUUAGAUUGUUGGUAGGGUAAAAGACUACCAAGGCGACGAUCCAUAGCUGGUCAGAGAGGAUGAUCAGCCACACUGGGACUGAGAAACGGCCCAGACUCCUACGGGAGGCAGCAGUGGGGAAUAUUGGAAAGUGGGCGAAAGCCUGAUCCAGCAAUGGCGCGUGAGUGAUGAAGGCCUGAGGGUUGUAAAGCUCUUUUACCCGGGAUGAUAAUGACAGUACCGGGAGAAUAAGCUCCGGCUAACUCCGUG